CUUGACGACCAUAGAGCAUUGGAACCACCUGAUCCCAUCCCGAACUCAGCAGUGAAACGAUGCAUCGCCGAUGGUAGUGUGGGGUCUCCCCAUGUGAGAGUAGGUCAUCGUCAAGA
rnacentral:rRNA from 12 species